ACUCAAAGGAAUAGACGGGGGCCCGCACAAGCGGUGGAGCAUGUGGUUUAAUUCGACGCAACGCGAAGAACCUUACCCGGGCUUGAACUGUAGAUGACCGCUCACGAAAGUGAGUUUCCGCAAGGACAUCUGCAGAGGUGCUGCAUGGCUGUCGUCAGCUCGUGUCGUGAGAUGUUGGGUUAAGUCCCGCAACGAGCGCAACCCUUGUCCGCUGUUGCCAUCAGGUUAAGCUGGGCACUCUGCGGAGACUGCCGGUGACAAACCGGAGGAAGGUGGGGAUGACGUCAAGUCAGCAUGGCCUUUAUGUCCGGGGCUACACACGUGCUACAAUGGCCGAUACAAACCGCCGCAAACUCGCAAGAGUGAGCUAAUCGGAGAAAGUCGGUCUCAGUUCGGAUUGUAGGCUGCAACUCGCCUGCAUGAAGUCGGAAUCGCUAGUAAUCGCGGAUCAGCACGCCGCGGUGAAUACGUUCCCGGGCCUUGUACACACCGCCCGU
rnacentral:rRNA from 1 species